CAGCUGCGGGGAAAAGAGGCAGUUAUAGGCAGUUAAUUUACCGGCAGAGGCACGGGAGGUACAACAGCAGGACUGGCAGUGUUAAAGCAGCGACUGAGAGACACAGAGAUACCACGCCAGAUGCGGUCAGCGCUUCCAGACGCCCAGGGUGCCUAGGUGCUUAUGCGGUGUUGAGAGGUGGAACCCGGAGCGACCUAGCGAAUGAUGAUCUAGGAGAGAGGCGGGCUCCCGCUCCGAGGCGGAGCUUAGGCGGACACCACCAGAGGAGGAAUUCACCCUACUGGCCUGAUGGAUACCUGUCAGUAAAGAUCUUCAGAUCGAGCUGGAACAUGUACGAAACGUCUUACAGCAGGAAUUCCUAUGAUGGGCCACUUCAGGAAGAUUGGGAAGGUUUACAACAUGCAGCCAUAAAUUGUUUGGCCACGGUGUCUAAAGAUGGGACGUGGAAGCUGUGGAAUACAGAUGAUGAGUACAAGAAGCAGCAAGACCCUUACCUGCUGUACACUGGGACAUGAUCCGGGAGAGAGCCUUGCCAUAUUGCGUUGUCCCCGGAUGCCCGUGUUGUUUUCAUUUCAAGUGUGUGUGAUAUCACAGUGUACUCAGUGGUGCAAGUAGAAAUAUUUUCUUAGUGGUACGGAGUCACGAAAAUGGGCGUGGUCAUGUGUUGUGAGGGGGCGUGGUCACAUGGCACAAGUGGGAGUGGCUACAUGACACUAGUGGCGGUGCGACACUACAAGCCCCUUUUCUUUGCACUCUGGAGGCAAGGCUAGAAAUAUAUAGUACUACCUCCAGUAUAAUAGAAAUAUAUAGUGAUAC